rnacentral:rRNA from 1 species
GACGAACGCUGGCGGCGUGCUUAACACAUGCAAGUCGAGCGGUAAGGCCCUUUCGGGGGUACACGAGCGGCGAACGGGUGAGUAACACGUGGGUGACCUGCCCUCAGCUCUGGGAUAAGCCUGGGAAACCGGGUCUAAUACUGGAUAUGACUCCAUGACGCAUGUUGGUGGGGGUGGAAAGCCUUGUGCGGCUGAGGAUGGGCCCGCGGCCUAUCAGCUUGGUUGGUGGGGUGANGGCCUACCAAGGCGACGACGGGUAGCCGGCCUGAGAGGGCGACCGGCCACACUGGGAUUGGA